UUAAAGAUGCCUAUGAAUACA
rnacentral:siRNA from 1 species